GGGCUUUGCUCAGAGCAGGGUCCCUGAAGGAUGGCUCCUCUGUUUGUAACACACCCAUAGGAAUCCUGCAUGUGCCUCCUGUGUUCCUCUACAUGG
rnacentral:snoRNA from 1 species